rnacentral:rRNA from 1 species
AUUGAACGCUGGCGGCAGGCCUAACACAUGCAAGUCGAGCGGAUGAGAGGAGCUUGCUCCUCGAUUCAGCGGCGGACGGGUGAGUAAUGCCUAGGAAUCUGCCUGGUAGUGGGGGACAACGUUUCGAAAGGAACGCUAAUACCGCAUACGUCCUACGGGAGAAAGCAGGGGACCUUCGGGCCUUGCGCUAUCAGAUGAGCCUAGGUCGGAUUAGCUAGGUAGUGAGGUAAUGGCUCACCAAGGCGACGAUCCGUAACUGGUCUGAGAGGAAGAUCAGUCACACUGGAACAGAGACACGGUCCAGACUCCUACGGGAGGCAGCAGUGGGGAAUAUUGGACAAUGGGCGAAAGCCUGAUCCAGCCAUGCCGCGUGUGUGAAGAAGGUCUUCGGAUUGUAAAGCACUUUAAGUUGGGAGGAAGGGCAGUAAGCUAAUACCUUGCUGUUUUGACGUUACCGACAGAAUAAGCACCGGCUAACUCUGUGCCAGCAGCCGCGGCAGUAA